rnacentral:rRNA from 1 species
GGUAUUGAAAUAAGAUUUUAAAUGAGUGCUAAGAGAAUGGUUAAACAAUUAAAAGCUUUCUUUAAUUAAAAAAUUAAAUUUAAUUUUUUUAGUGCAAAAGCAAAAAUAAAAUUUAGGGACAAGAAGACCCUAUGAAUUUUUAUUGUUAAUAAUUAAAAUUUAAGUUAUUAAUAAUUUAAUUGGGGCGAUAAAAAAAGAAUAAGUAUCUUUUUAGUUAUAAAAUAAGUUCCGUUUUUAGCGAUUAAAUGAAAUAAAUACUCUAGGGAUAACAGCGUAAUAAUUUUGGAUAGUUCAUAUAGAUAAAAUAGUUUGCGACCUCGAUGUUGGAUUAGGAUUCUUUUUUGGUGAAGAA